UACGUAGGCAGCGAGCGUUGUUCGGAGUUACUGGGCGUAAAGCGUGCGUAGGCGGUGAUCCAAGUCUGGUGUGAAAUCUCCCGGCUCAACUGGGAGGGUGCGCCGGAAACUGGGCCGCUGGAGUACGGGAGAGGCAAGCGGAAUUCCAGGUGUAGCGGUGAAAUGCGUAGAGAUCGGGAAGAACAUCGGUGGCGAAGGCGGAUCUCUGGGCCUGUCCUGACGCUCAGGCGCGAAAGCUAGGGGAGCAAACAGG
rnacentral:rRNA from 1 species